GAUGUUCCACUUAACAUGCUGUAUAAGGAGAUAAAGAUGGGACGGCAAUCCUCAUUCAUCCGCACUGAAUACAUAGAGAUUAGUCAUCUGUUAAAUGGCGCUUUCACUUCAGUAUUCAACCAGUAAUGUUGAAGGUCAAGGAGAAUCAAGUCAAUCAACUGAACAAUGCAAGAAGGUUACCAUACUUAGCAUUGAUGGAGGUGGAAUUCGAUGCAUCAUUCCAGCAACCAUCCUCUAUGCGCUCGAAAAACACCUUCAGGUUUAUAUAUAUACUCCAAUUCUUUCCCAUGUAAUUAAUGGAUUAUAAUCUCCAUUAUUUAUUUUUGUUGGGUC
rnacentral:misc_RNA from 1 species